UCGAUUUUUCAAACUGAAUUUUCGGUUUAUCAAACUAAUCCUUCGGUUCGUUUAACCAAACUUGUUCCGUAAGGUAAGCUGACAAAGUUUGGUCAUACACGGAGAAAAAAGAUUGGCGGCUGUGACUAUUUGGGGUUGGUAAAGCAGGAUUUAGUAUGACGCAACUGAAACAUUAGAAACUGUAACUCACUGAAUUAGCGGCCUAAACCAACCCGGUUUUGUAAUUUACGGUCUAGUGCGCCUAACUAGGACCGUGAUACAACUUAACAUACAGUCUAGUCACAAAAACCUAUCUCUCAGGCUCCCAGAUUUACCAACCCAUGUUAGUCAUAGUUUCCUUUCCGGUCAGUCCGACUAACCUUUGUCCCAGUUAUCAAAAACUGAGCUACUUUAUAUUCUACAACAAAUUUAAAAAGUUCGAAAUACAAUAAUUAAAAGGUGAUGGAUAACACGAAAUAAGUUGAAUUUCCAUAAUGUAUUGGUGGAAAUAUGUAAGUUGAGCAGGUAAUUUUAACCUCAACGCAGUUAGUGUAGAUACUUGUUUAUGUUGGUAGUGUUCACAAGAGAUUCCUAUCAGUCUAAACAGACCUGUGUGUUAUCAAUUUCUUUCUGCGGGUUGGGAUUUCUGAUUCGCUAAGCUGAUUCGCUUCAUCACGUGAAAUGUGAAUCACCACCACAAGCCCAGUGACUCUGGUGACUCAUGUAAUCUGUGCUCUGGAAUUUAUAGGCCUAUUCUAGUCAAGGCGUUCUGUGCUUCGUCGGUGCCGGUGCCGGUAAUUUUGGUGCUGUGUUUUACUCACUGUUAGUCUUAUUUCGUUAAAUUAAUAAAUUAUAAUGUGCAGUUACUUAGUUAGUUAGUGACUUAGACUUAGUCAUCGAGUGCAAAUGCGUCGUGCCAACGCUAAUAAGAAAGGAAAGGUCGGCUGCGGCAAUGGCUCCCGUGGAAAGGCCCUAGUAGAUGCCGCGCUGAACAAACCGAGGCAAUAAAUGACGACGAGUAUCAGACAUCAGUCGAGUGGCUAAACAUUAGUAUUUCUCCAUGGAAUAUUGUCAUCCAAAAGUGGAAGAUAACAGCACCUAGAAGACUUCAUGAGUAUGAAAUCACAAAAGUUCCAAUUUCAGACUAUGUAGCUCUGUUUCCAGCCCUACAAUUAUCAGAAGGAUCUGAAUUGAUUGAAAUAGACUUUGGUGUCAAAUACAGAGAACACAAAGACUGCUUCCACGAGGCUUGGCCUCAUCUAAAAGAUGCACUCAUACCGCACGCUCAACGCAAAAUUAAGGAUGACCCAACAUUCAAAGCAAUAAUAAAAGCGAACAAAAUUGAUUUUGAUGUCUCCAGUGAGUACCCUAGAAUACUUAGUUUUUGCCUUCUCCAUCUGUCUACAUUU
rnacentral:lncRNA from 1 species